AUAUCUCCCCUCGGGGGGAGACAGAUUUCACGCUUGCGAGGAAUCAGAGGGAGGAC
rfam:Metagenome sequence 3634299_fasta.screen.Contig5173, whole genome shotgun sequence.